AAGAAGAGAGCCACCCUGCAGAAAAGGGGCUCAGGAAGGGACGUGGAGCCGUGAGCUAGGGCCCAGCUCUGACUCGACCCCUAGUCUGGGAACCUCCAUAUGCCAUGGGUGUGGCCCUAAAAAAAUAAAAAAAGACACUUGCAAAAAAUCUGACUUCAGUGGCUUAGGUGGAUGCAGAGGCACUGGUUCGAUUCCCGGCCCAGCACAGCGGGCUAAGGGAUCCAGCAAAGCUGCAGUUGCGGCAUAGGUCACAGCUGUGGCUCAGAUUCAGUCCUGGCCUGGGAACUUCCAUAGGCUGUGGGUGCAGCCAUAAAAUUAAAAAAAGAAAAGAAAAGAAAUAUGGUGGCAGAUGGGGAUCCAGCAGGGUGGUUUGGGGGCGAUGUGAGGUGGCACAGCUCCAUGUCUGGCCAGGGAUGGCCUGGAUUGUCUGCUAACGGUGCCCGGAAGUCGCGGAAACCAGCUUCGCUCUCGAAGGGUGAUCAGCAAUGGGCUGAGCCUUUGCUUUUCUAUCUUUGAUGUCACAGCCUCUCUGGGGGGCUUCCUGUCCUUGCUCCAGCCUUACAGGUGGCCCUGGGACUUUAAGAGUCACACCGCCUGCCUGCUCAGUCAGUGUUUACACGUCUCUCCCCGCCUCCUCGCAUUCCCUGCGCUAAGGGAGGAGGCGGUUAAUUUUUAAGCUGCUCAAUUCAACAACUGUUUCUAGGUUUGCUUUGGCCAGGCUGUAACCAGAUGUAGCUCGCUGACCACAGGUCCGCGGAGGCCUGCCACCUGCCCAGGACCCACGGGGAGGCCAGGCCAGUUUGAGGAGUCCGUUUAUCCACCUCUGUUAGACAGACCUGGGCCUGUGUUUUAACGUCUGGCUGUUGAUUUUCUGUGUUUUGCUUUUUAGGGCCACACCCGCGGCAUAUGGAGGUUCCCAGGCUAGGGCUCGAAUCGGAGCUACAGCUGUCGGCCUACGCUACAGCCACAGCCAGGCAGGAUCUGAGCAGCGUCUGCAACCUACACCAUAGCUCACGGCAAUGCCAGAUCCUUCGCCCACUGAGCGAGGCCAUGGUUCCUAGUCGCAUUCCUUAACCACUGAGCCACGACUGGAACUCCUCCCCCAUGCCUUUUAGUGGCCUGAUAGCCCCCCCCCCCCCCUUUUUCCUUUUUUUUUUACACCCACCCCUGCCGCACAUGGAGGUUUCCAGGCUCGGGGUUGCAUCGGAGCUGCAGCUGCCAGCCUACAGCAUGGUCACAGCAAUACUAGAUCUGAGCCACAUCUGUGACCUACACUGUAGCUUGUGUCAACGCUGGAUCUUUAACCCACUGAGUGAGGCCAGGGAUUGAAACAGCCUCCUCACAGAGACAGUGUCAGGUUCUUAACCCGCUGAGCCACAGUGGGAACUCUUUUCUUUUUUUUUUUUUUUUUUUAACUGCUGAAUCAUAUGCCAUUGUCUGGAUGUAUGGUUUAUUUGUGCAUUCACCCCCCAAAGGACAUCUCGUUGCUUCCCUAUCUUGGUUUUUAUUUUUGCAAGUUAUCACUCGAGUCAAAGAGCCAUGAAGAAUUGUGAAGUUCAGCUCUUCUUCUGGGUAUUUUUAUUCCUUUUCCUGUAAGUUCCCCUUCCUGGUAGACUGUCCCCACCAUUUUUUUUCCUGACUCAUUAUAAUUAGAAGAAAAUCACUUUAGGGAGUUCCCGUCGUGGCUCACUGCUAAUGAACCUGGCUAGUAUCCAUAAGGACACGGGUUCGAUCGCUGGCCUUGCUUGGUGGGUUAAGGAUCUGACGUUGCCAUGAGCUGUGUUGUAGGUCGCAGAUGCCAGUUGGAUCUGGGGUGGCUGUGGCUGUGGCGUAGGCCAGUGGCUGCAGUGCUGAUUGGACCCCUAGCCUGGGGAGUUCCAUAGGCCACAAGUGUGGCCCUAAAAAAAAAAAAAAAGAAGAAAGUCACGUUGCUACAGGUAUAUUCAUGGCUGUGGCUGUCGUCCCACUGAAACUGUUACUCUGAGGCCCAGGAUUUGGGGAACAGCCCCACAUGCGAAUUCCUACCAGCGAAGCCGUGGCACGGGCUCUGGGUCGGCUCCUGCAGUCAGCAAGCCGCGUGCAGCUGCACUAGCAAAGUGCUAUUUUAUAUAAGCAGGGCCAUUUCCUUUGUACAGGAAUUCAUGUUUUUCAACCCUAAAUAAUCUGGGCCAAGCAGGGGCCUCCGUUGUGGGGUCUUGGAACUGUCUGGGACCUGAAGGUGGCCAGCAGGAAGGAGCCACUGCGAAUGGGAGAAGUUUGUCCCCUGAGCAACACUGCCAGGGGUAGUUCUGGCACCUUCUUCUGCUGGCACUUCAGACCCUGCUGGGCACUGGACGGGCCUGCAGGCACUGCGUUCACCAUUUUACACAAGAGGAAACAGGCAUGUGGCCGGGUGACAGGACCAAGUGGCUGCGAUGUUGACAGUGUCAUUCCAUCGUGGCUGAUUUGCUCUGGAAUAUGGCCUAGGGUUAAGCUCUGUUUAUGUGGGAUUCACUAGCCCUGCCCCCAAAAAGCUCAGAAAGGAAUUAAUCUUCUUUUGAAAUAUACGUGUUUUAAAUAAAUCACGUCCUUUCCACAUCACUAAGUCACGUCCUUUCCACGUUCUGUUUUCAGUACGUCAUCAUUUUUCAUUCCACAUUGUGUUGUGGCUGAUGUGGCAGCUUCCAUAGGCACCUAGUGAAACUGCUCUUACCCGCUGGCUGCUCCAUUAGGCUAGUUACCUAGUUAGCAGGAGGAGAGCCCGGGCUGCUGCCUGUCCAGCUGCACUCUGUUACCUGUCUGUCUGUCUGUCUUCUAUCUAUCUAUCUAUCUGUCAUCUAUCUAUCUCUCCGCUUAUUUCGGCCACACCUGCUGCAGCAUGUAGAAGUUCCUGGGCCAGAGAUCGAACCUGCGCCGCAGUUGUCCACCUGAGCCACAGCAGUGACAAUGCCGGAUCCUUAACAUGCUGAGCUGCCAGGAAACUCUGCAGCUGUUAUUUAGACUGGACAGUGGAGCCUGCUUUUGAGCCACAUCCUUCUCACUCCAGCCUGACUCCCCUGGAGCCAUGCCCCCUGGGCGGGGGAGUCCACCGGGGCCAGUUGUCACAGAUUCCUGGCUGCAGAUGUCAUCUGUGAGGGGAGGGCGCCUGAGACUGAGCACUGCUCAGGUUUCUCAGGAUACCUUUUGACAUUCUGGGAACACAUGUUUUUGUGACUUCAUCCGCAGUGAGGCUCCGUGCUUUUGGGAAGGACUUGGUGGUUGAUCAAUCCCGUGACUGCGGGUGCUGGGACGUGCAGGUCGGUUGCCCCUGCCUGCAGUCCCACCUGUCUUCUCUGGGACCUGACUCAGCACCUCAAAACCCUGUUCCAACAGGGUUUUAGUUUUGUCAGCUUUGUUUUAAUGAAUGAUGCAAUUGUUGGAAUAUAUGGGUAGUGUCUCAAGGUGACUUGUAAAGAGCUUCCAACAAAUUUAAGUGUGUACGUUCUAGAAGAUUCCUUCAAAAACAGCCCUUCCUGCACCAUCAUCUUUGGCCCGUGCAUCUUUGGUCCUUUAUAGAGAGAGCGCUGGGUGAGGCCUGUGUGACAAAUGAGCCAGUGCCCUGUGUCCCCCACACCUGUAGGACUUGGGGGGACGGGAGGAACGGAACGGUAGCAGUGAUGGUUUGAAGUAUUUUUAGCAAAUGGAUUCCGGUUUAUUAUGGGGCCCCCCUGUUGUGCAAAGGGGACUUAGUUACCUGGGAGAGGAUCAAACGUAAUCAAGCAAGCCAGCUCCCCAAGGCCGAGGGCAGAGAGGGGACAGGUGUCCACCUGCAGGGCAUCCAGAGGGUAGUGCCAUCUGACCCAGGAAGCCAGGCUCUGAUGACAGUAAGGGCAUUUGGGUCCACGAGGCCCCUUGAUUCAAAGCAGACGGCACCCUGGUGAUGACAGUGACAGAUGUGUCCCGGCCCUGACAGGCAGCAGGGCAGAGCCAGCUGUGGAAGGGACCUCAUGCAGCCGGGAACAUGGUGCCCAGGAGAGCUGCCCUGGGGCCAGGCUGCUGUGGGCACCUGUCACUCGAAUGUCAACAAAAGCAAGAAAAAGAGCUUGGUGAAUCUUCUUUUCCUCUCUGCAUUCUCCAGUUCAUGCCGCUCUUAUAGGUGAUUCUUUCCCUGCACCUGCCCUUAUUUUGGGAGAACAAAAAGUAGAAAAUGGAAACUUCCAGGUGUAGCUGUCAGGAGCAGCCCCUUGAGCCGUGGGACCCACUGGAGAAGGGGCUCCGGACCUGGUCGGGGUUCUGAUGGCAGCUCCGUCAAUGCAGGCCUCGUGUCCUUUAUAAAUGGGUAAAGCAGUGUAUUCCGUUGGCCCUGGAACAUUCUCUAGACGCCACAGCACAUCCUCCGAGCUUCAGCAUACGCUUGUCAUGACACCCUGGGAUCCAGGUUCCAGGAACUUUUCUCUUGGUUUGGGGUGCGUUCCAGCUCUGGCCGGGACACCUCUCAUUAUGUCACCCCUCUUUUCCCUCCGUUGUCUCCCCAGCCCCACGUUCAGGCUGGUAGGGGUGACAGAAGCCUGCACUGACUUCAUUGUCCCUGUCCCUGUGGGGGGCACAUGCUGGUGGGCUUUGGGGACAUGUGCUUCUGCAGGCCUUGUGCUCAAGGGCACUUGAUGGCUUUGGACCCACUCCCACCUUGGCCUUGGACACCCCGUGCCUCCUGGCACCCCGCAUCCUGCCUCUGAGCACGUGUGUCCGUGGCCAGCACCACCACCCGGGUGAGGACAGAGGGCCAGCGCUGGGGUCACUGGGUCACGCCUGCCUCCGGUGAUGCCCAGUGAGCCUCUGGGAGUGUUUCACGGCGGCGGGGGUCGGGGGGUCUGCGUCAGCAGCUCCGCGCCUCUCACUUGAACCCGCUGGCCGUUAUCCUCGGAGGAGAACAGUCCUAAUCCACCUGCCGGUUUUAUUUUCGUGGGGCUGCUUCUGGCGGAGAGUUUUCCUAAAUAGAAAACCCAUGGCUCCUUUGAGAGCAGGAUGAAAAUAAUCAGCGAAGCAUUUGAAUCCCCACCCCCACAUUUUAAUCUGUAAAAUUAAACUCCCGUUUCCCCCUGUGCUUUGUUUUGUCUCUCGUAAAGCGGGUUAUUUUGAGCAGGGAUUCAGGAAGGGCCGGCCUCCUCUUUUCCUUCGAGCUCAGAAAUAGCUCCUGGGAUGGGUGUCCUCCGGGCGGAUCCGGGUGCAGUUCAUCUUUGUGUGUUUCUAGGCAUUUUUGACUCUUACCUUCUCACCAGCCCCGUGUGUCUCCGCACCUUUCAGCUCCUAAGCCCCCUGCAACCCCCCACUCGGGAACUUUCGGAGCCGGUAGGCCUUCUGGUCUACCAGAGCUGAGCACCGGACUCUGGGCUCUCAGCCUCCCCUGCCUCUGCUUAGACCGUCUUUUUUUUUUUUUUUUUAAUUAUGUUUCACAUUAUUUUUUUAUUCCGUCCUUCCUCCCUCUUUCUUCCUUUCUUUCUCGUUCUCUCUUUCUCCCCGCCUCCCCCCUCUCUCCCUUCCUUCCUUCCCCUGCGGCAUAUGGGAUUCCUGGGCCAGGGGUCAGAUCCCGGCCACAGUUGUGACCUAAGCCACAGUUGCAGCAACACUGGAUCCUUAACCCACUGUGCCGGGCUGGAGAAUUGAACCUGCGUCCCAGCGCUCCCAAGAUGCCGCUGAUCCCCUUGCGCCACAGCGGGAACUCCCAGACGGUCUUUAGUGUAAACACACCACCGCUUCCUUGUGGAGGAGGGCUGAGAAGUCAGAAACUCGGAGUCCAGAGUCUUUAUCGAAACCCUCGUCAUUUUGGAGGCUGUCUUCUUUAUUUUCAGCGAGUGUGCUGCGAGGGCCUUGCCUGGCGGUAGGAGGCCCCUGCAAAGCAGAGUGCUGCCUGGGGAGGACCUGGUUGCAGCAAAGGGGCAGCAGGAAGGCGCUCACGGGUGUUUGAGGGAGAACCUGGCAGGUGGGGCUGGUGGCCUGGGCAGAUGGGGACGGGCUUGCCCCAGUUCUAGGUUCUGUUUGGGAUCCUGGGUGGCAGAAUUGGCAGGAUUUUGUAAAUAUGGAGGAGGUUUAGGCUCGUCUGGUGAGCUCCCAUGGGUUUAGUGGAAUAUGAUUAUAUGGACAUUUACAGUGAGUGAGCUGACCCUUCUGGGCCUAAUGCUAAAUUUAAAAUUUUUUCUGGAGUUCCUGUCGUGGCGCAGUGGAAGUGAAUCCGACUAGGAACCAUGAGGUUGCAGGUUGGAUCCCUGGCCUCGCUCAGUGGGUUAAGGAUCUUGCGUUGCUGUGGCUGUGGUGUAGGCUGGCAGCUGCAGCUUUGAUUGGACCCCUAGCCUGGGAACCUCCAUAUGCCUCGGGUGCAGCCCU
rnacentral:lncRNA from 1 species